rnacentral:rRNA from 1 species
GGCUGAGAGAUCAGCUGUUCCCUUCGGGGACAGAAUGACAGGUGGUGCAUGGUUGUCGUCAGCUCGUGUCGUGAGAUGUUGGGUUAAGUCCCGCAACGAGCGCAACCCUUAUGAUCAGUUGCCAGCAUUCAGUUGGGCACUCUGGUCAGACUGCCGGUGACAAACCGGAGGAAGGCGGGGAUGACGUCAAAUCAUCAUGCCCCUUAUGACCUGGGCUACACACGUGAUACAAUGGGUGGUACAACGAGCAGCGAGACCGCGAGGUCAAGCGAAUCUCUAAAAACCAUCCUCAGUUCGGAUUGCAGGCUGCAACUCGCCUGCAUGAAGCUGGAAUCGCUAGUAAUCGCGGAUCAGCACGCCGCGGUGAAUACGUUCCCGGGUCUUGUACACACCGA